rnacentral:rRNA from 1 species
AUGCGUUUUGUUGAAAGGAAUGAAGCAAAACAUCCACCUGGACCUACUUUUCAAAAUCCUAUGCAUGAAAACAAGACCAAGUGCAUUAGUGGCAGAAUAACAUUUUCACUGUACACGCUUUCAUAUGGUUUCACUUUAUUCUGGCCAUGUUUCUUUGCAUUCCUAUGCUCUUCCAAUUCCUGUGAACCAAACACCCAAGUUGACGGAAAUCCUGUGUUUACAAAUGCUUUGUUUAUCAUGUGCAUUCCUAUCCUAUUCCAGUGUUUUUCCUAUCCCUGCGUUUUUAGAAUCAUGCAAGCCAAAUGA